rnacentral:rRNA from 1 species
GCGAUCAUACCAGCACUAAUGCACCGGAUCCCAUCAGAACUCCGAAGUUAAGCGUGCUUGGGGAGAGUAGUACUAGGAUGGGUGACCCCCUGGGAAGUCCUCGUGUUGCACCCC